CGGGGCGUAGCGCAGCCUGGUAGCGCACCUGCUUCGGGAGCAGGGGGUCGGAGGUUCAAAUCCUCUCGCCCCGACCA
rnacentral:tRNA from 11 species